rnacentral:rRNA from 1 species
UACAGAGACCUCAAGCGUUAUCCGGAAUCAUUGGGCGUAAAGCGUACCGAUAGGUGGUUUUGUUAGUCUUGGGUAAAAGCCAGAAGCUCAACUUCUGCGUUUGCUCAAGAUACUGCAAGACUAGAGGAGUAAAGAGGUUGCUGGAACGAACGGUGUAGUAGUGAAAUGCGUUGAUAUCGUUCGGAACACCGAAAGCGAAGGCAGGCAACUGGGUACUACCUGACACUGCUAGGACGAAAGCGUGGGGAGCGAACAGG